rnacentral:rRNA from 1 species
GCGUCCUAUCCAGGUAGUUGGUGGGGGUAGGCCUACCAAGCCAAACGGACCGGUGUGAGACAUGAUCGGUAGAGGGGGACUGAGACACGGCCCCCACCCCUACGGGAGGCAGCAGCAGGGAAUCUUGCGCAAUGGGCGAAAGCCUGACGCAGCGACACCGCGUGGGGGAAGAAGGCUUUAUCGUAAACCUCUUUUCUCAGGGAGGAGAAUGGACAGUACCUGAGGAAUAAGGUUCGGCUAACUACGUGCCAGCAGCCGCGGUAAUACGUAGGAACCGAGCGUUGUCCGAAUUUACUGGGCGUAAAGGGCGCGUAGGCGGCUUGUUUAGUCUCAUGUGAAAUCUCCCGGCUUAACUGGGAGGGGUCAUGGGAAACUGGCAGGCUCGAGGGCAGUAGAGGGAAGCGGAAUUCCCGGAGUAGUGGUGAAAUGCGUAGAUACCGGGAGGAACACCAGAGGCGAAAGCGGCUUCCUGGACUGUCCCUGACGCUCGAGGCGCGAAAGCGUGGGGAGCAAACCGGAUUAGAUACCCUGGUAGUC